rnacentral:rRNA from 1 species
UGGGGAAGUAUUGCACAAUGGGCGAAAGCCAUGAUGCAGCAACGCCGCGUGAGGGAAGACGGUUUUCGGAUUGUAAACCUCUGUUUUCGGUGACGAACAAAUGACGGUAACCGAGUAGGAAGCCACGGCUAACUACGUGCCAGCAGCCGCGGUAAUACGUAGGUGGCAAGCGUUAUCCGGAAUUACUGGGUGUAAAGGGAGCGCAGGCGGGAUAGCAAGUCAGCUGUGAAAACUAUGGGCUCAACCCAUAAACUGCAGUUGAAACUGUUAUUCUUGAGUGGAGUAGAGGCAAGCGGAAUUCCGAGUGUAGCGGUGAAAUGCGUAGAUAUUCGGAGGAACACCAGUGGCGAAGGCGGCUUGCUGGGCUCUAACUGACGCUGAGGCUCGAAAGUGUGGGGAGCAAACAGGAUUAGAUACC